rnacentral:rRNA from 1 species
UACGUAGGGCGCAAGCGUUGUCCGGAAUUAUUGGGCGUAAAGAGCUCGUAGGCGGCUUGUCACGUCGGGUGUGAAAGCCCGGGGCUUAACCCCGGGUCUGCAGUCGAUACGGGCAGGCUUGAGUUCGGUAGGGGAGACUGGAAUUCCUGGUGUAGCGGUGAAAUGCGCAGAUAUCAGGAGGAACACCGGUGGCGAAGGCGGGUCUCUGGGCCGAUACUGACGCUGAGGAGCGAAAGCGUGGGGAGCGAACAGG